AUGGACUACGGUGGUUUCGGUGCAUUGGGGCAUGUAUCAUAGAGAACUGUUCCCUAGACUGGUGGAAGGUUCUUGGGAUGGAAAAACACGCUACAUUUCCACUCUGGCAUACAUACUUCUGCCAUCACUGACUCAGAGAAAACGCAUGAGGAGAUCAAGGAGUUACAACCAAUCCGUAAAGGAUUAAUUAAUCAAACUUCCUCAUACCUGGCCAAGGGAAGUUUAUACCUCGGGUUGAGAAGAAGGAGAUGGCAGAUUAGGCCUUGGCCCUGGUCAGGGUCCAAAUGAAGGGGGUGGACUUAGUAUACUCUGCAAAGUAAAGGCAUUUCCGGUGCCUGUGGCUGCUGUGUCUUGCGAUGAUUUUUUCAGAAUGGUGCUGGCAGAGGAGGGGCAGGUUUGGAAUUGGGGAGUUAACCAGUGUGACAGCUGAUGCAUUUUGUCAUGUUUUCAACAUUGACUGAACAUCCAUUAUUGCUGGAACAAAAACAACAUAAAUAAAGUGUCUGUGAACUUGGAAGAGGUGACAGGGUCAGUGCUUGGAGACCAAAACCAAUUCCUAGCCUCAAAGAUGUUUGUAUCAUUCAGAUAGCAGGUGGUGGAUAUCACUGUCUUGCCUUGACUGAUGAAGGUCAAGUACUUUCGUGGGGGUUUGAUGGACAUGUUCAGCUGGGCCAUUCUUCAAUUCAAUGUCAGAAAAUACCAGCAGUGAUUGAUGCUUUGGCUGAUCAGCAUGUCAUUCAUGUCACCUGUGGAGGUUCAUCGUUGGCAGCUAUAACUGCAAGCAAGCGAGUAACCUAUGCUUUUGUUUAAUUCUUGAAGAGGAUUGGUGGAUCUGGAAUGGAUACGAGGAGCAAAGCAAGGACUCUUUCUGGUCCGGUUAGUGAUCCUUCAAAGCUUCCCAAGUGGAACUAUGAUGGUUCUCAAUUUUAUUGCAGUGCUGGCACAAAUGCAAGGAUCAGAUCAUUGUUAUUUUAUCCCCUUUCUGGUAGUGGGAUGUGAUAUCUGCUAAAGGAAAAACACUGUUCUUGUAAGAAGUGCACAAAGGAUCUCUUUUAUCAUAUGCAGCUACUGGUUCUUUGUGAAAAAACGUUCCUAGAAUGUUCUAACUAUGAUAUUACUAGAGUUGGAAUGAAUGAAGAGCAAAUUGGGAGCAUGAUCUCGCUUUUGCUGAAUAGUAUCUGUGAAGAAACGAAUAUAAUUAAUCCCAUGAAGCUUUGAGCGUGCAGCCAUCAAUUGUAAGACAUUUGAUGUAGCUCCUCUUCUGAUGCUAGACAUGGUGCUAAUGUUAUAUGUUGUAGCUGCAUAUUAUCAUAUGAAAUCAUGGGGAUUGUGCAGCUACUCAUGCUAUCAUCAGUUGGCAGAAAUCCAUCAUGAGAAUGAUCCCCAUAAGUUUGCAAGUCCUGUAUAGGUGGAAAGUUUGAAGCAGAAACUAUUUCUUUCAUGUUGCCCAUUUCUGAUACAACUCGUUGAUCAUCAAAAAGCCUAUUUUCUGCAGAGACUGUUCUGUACGCGUUUUCUAGAAUUGUUUGCAUAUACUUUCUCUGUGCAUCAAUUCUCUUUUGAAGGUGGUGCUUUACCUAUUAGGACAAUGAGAACAGAAUACUCGAAAAGGGUGACAGCAUCGACAAAUCGUUCAUGAAGCUCGAGAGUCCAUCGGAGACGAGGCUUGGGGUCUGUUGUGAUCAGAAGAUGGUUGCUUUCUCUUUGAAAGCAGGGUGGCUCCCUAUCAUGUGUUUGCAUCAGUGCUGAGGGCAUGUUGGAGUGCAAAUUGUUUGCAGUGCCAUGAGAUGAGAACAAAUGCUAUAUAUAUAGAGAGUGAGGGAGGGAGAAAACAGGAAAUAAUCUGCGUAUUGAAUUCAUCUAGACAUCAAUUAUUAGAUUUGCCAUGUAUAAAUCAUCACAUAUUUCCAAAACAUAUCGAUCCGACAUGUCAACCUGGAAAAUAGGCUUGUUUAAAAAAACAUAGUUUCAAAUUAAA